rnacentral:rRNA from 1 species
AUGACUAAGCUUGCGCUCCUCGUCCGAGGAACUGCACUACUGAUUUGUCUAUUGAUCUUCCAAGCAUCAUCCACUUCACAUGGCCAAGCGAGUGUAUCAGGAGCCUGCAUCGGCAGCGAGCGAGAUGCGCUUCUGUCCUUCAAGGCAAGCCUCCUGGACCCUGCUGGCCAUCUCUCGUCAUGGCAGGGUGAGGAUUGUUGCCAAUGGAAGGGAGUCCGCUGCAGCAACAGAACGGGCCAUCUCAUCAAGCUCAACCUCCGCAACAUCGACAUGGAAGACUACAUGGGCUACUACAUGGACAACAUGUACUACAUGUACGACUACAACUACCCGAACAGGAGCGGAUCAUUGAGCUUGUCGGCAGGCGAGAUGAGCUCUUCUUUGGCUACUCUACAACACCUGAGGUAUCUUGAUCUGAGCUGGAAUGACUUCAACGGCACAAGCAUCCCUGUGUUCUUGGCUUCCCUCAAGAACCUAAGGUAUCUCAACCUCUCGUCGGCACGAUUCAGUGGGAGAAUACCUUCCGAACUUGGCAAUCUCUCAAAGUUGCAAUAUCUUGAUCUCAGUUGGAAUUAUAACUAUUAUGAUGGAAAUAACUCUUACAUAGUGGAUCUUGCAUGGUUGCCACGUCUCUCUUUGUUGAGACAUCUUGACAUGAGUUCUGUGGAUCUUGGUUCUGCGAGGGAUUGGUUUCAGAGAGUUAGUAUGCUUCCUUCUCUUAAAGUGCUUCGCUUGUCCGGCUGUGGACUCAAUGGUACCGUGUCUGCUAGUAUAUCAAUUUCCAACCUCACACAUCUUAAGGUCCUUGAUAUAUCCUAUAACACCUUCAGAAUACCUUCCCAAUUUGGAAAUCUCACAAAGUUGCAAUAUCUUGAUGUCAGUGGGAAUUAUUAUCCUGAUGUGGCUCUUGCAUGGUUGCCACGUCUAUCUUUGUUGAGACAUCUUGACAUGACUUAUGUGGAUCUUGGUUCUGCGAGGGAUUGGUUUCAGAGUGUUAAUAUGCUUCCUUCUCUUAAAGUGCUUGGCUUGUCCGGUUGUGGACUCAACAGCACCAUGUCUGCUAGUAUAUCACUUUCCAACCUCACACAUCUCGAAGUCCUUGAUAUGUCUGGUAACAACUUCUAUACUUCACUCAAGCAUGCAUGGUUUUGGAAUCUCAAAAGCCUUAAGGAGCUUUACCUCUCUGGUUCCAGCUGGAUAGGGUCUAUUCCUAGUGAUUUGGCAAACAUGACGGCCCUUCAAGUCAUAGAUUUAACUGGGAAUCAGCUCGUGGGUUUGAUACCAGAAAAAUUGGGAAAUUUGUGCAAUUUGACCAGAAUGAGGUUCAGUGGUAACAACAUAGGUUCGAGCAUAGGGGAGUUCAUGGGGCGAUUGCCAAAGUGCUCGUGGAAUACACUGCAAGAAUUCUCAGUGCAAUAUGCAAAUAUGACCGGGAAUCUACCCGGUUGGAUUGGGAACAUGACCAAUCUCAGUGUUCUUCAAGCAUCUAAAAACAUGUUAACUGGCACUCUACCUAUAGGAGUUGGAGCAUUGAGUACUUUGAAAAUGCUGGACCUCGGGUACAAUAACUUCAGCGGCGUGCUAUUGAAAGAACAUUUUGCAAGCUUAGGGAAAUUAGAGGUUCUGGAGCUCGGGUACAAUAGCUUCAGCGGUGUGCUCUUGAAAGAACAUUUUGCAAGCUUAGGCAAAUUAGAGCUUUUGGACCUCAGCUACAAUAACUUCAGCGGUGUGCUCUUCAAAGAAAUCUUUACAAGUUUAGGUAAUUUGGAAUAUUUGGACCUCAGCUAUAAUAAUUUCAGUGAUUUUCUCUUGAAAGAACACCAAACAAGUUUAGGUAAUUUAAAUCAUUUGGAUCUCAGCCAUAAUAAAUUAGAUAGUGUGCUUGUGGAGGAGCAUUUUGCAGGCCUAUUGAAUUUAGAGUAUUUAGACUUGUCGUACAACCCUCUGAGAUCAGCUAUCAACCAAAAAUGGGUUCCACCAUUUAGAUUGAAGGUUGUAAAAUUCCAAUCAUGCCAACUGGGACCCAUCUUUCCAGAGUGGCUAAAAUGGCAAUCUGACAUUGAUGUUCUUGUUCUCAGUGAUGCAAAGCUGGAUGAUGUUAUUCCUGAUUGGUUUUGGGUAACAUUUUCUCGAGCUUCAACCUUGCAAGCAUCAGGAAACAAAUUGCGUGGCUCAUUACCAGCAAAUCUACAACACAUGUCAGCUGACUAUAUACAUCUCGGGUCCAAUAAGUUGACAGGUCAAGUUCCACAGUUGCCUAUAAAUAUAAGCCGACUGGACCUAUCUUCAAACUCUUUAUCUGGGUCAUUGCCGUCAAAGCUAAAUGCUCCUGCACUCGAAGACUUGAUGCUUGCAAAUAAUCAAUUAACAGGCACCAUCCCGUCGUCUAUAUUCCAAUUGACUUCUCUGUAUAGGUUGGACCUAUCAGGAAACCAUUUAGAAGGAGAUAUUAUGCAGUGUUGGGAGGAAUCUGAUGCAAACUCUACAAGUCAAUUUGGUUGGAACUUGUUCAGCUUGGCCCUAAAUAACAACAACCUGACUGGUCAAUUCCCUAAAUUUCUUGCAAGGUCAUGGCAAUUGAUGUUCCUUGACCUUUCUUACAAUAGGUUAUCUGGAGCAUUACCAGAAUGGUUGCCAGAAAAAAUCCCACGGUUGAAAAUAUUAAGAGUGAGAUCAAAUUUGUUCAGUGGUCAUAUUCCUAAGAGUUUCACUUCCCUUCGCCGUCUUCAUUAUUUGGACAUAGCACAUAACAACAUAUCAGGAAGCAUACCGCGGUCUUUGCCAAACUUGAAAGCAAUGAAGGCAGUGGUGUCACAUGACAUGAAGGAUUACUACUAUGAAGAGAGCAUCCCAGUAAUCAUGAAGGAUCAAAAGCGUGACUACACCUUCGCAAUCUACAAUCUAUUGGCAAUUCUUGAUUUGUCAAGUAAUAAUUUGGCAGGGCAGGUUCCAGAGGAGAUAACUCUACUCAUUGCACUUACCAGCCUGAACUUAUCAAAUAAUCUGUUCAUAGGAACAAUCCCAAACCAAGUUGGUGAUUUAAAGAGGUUGGAGUCACUCGACCUAUCCUUCAAUGAGUUUUCUGGUGCAAUACCCUCAAGCUUAUCAGCUUUAACUUAUUUGAGCCACUUGAACUUGUCAUACAACAAUCUGUCCGGUGCAAUACCAUCCGGCCAACAGCUACAAGCUCUUGAUAACCAGAUGUAUAUCUACAUCGGUAACCCUGGUCUUUGUGGAGAUCCUGUUGGCAGGAGCUGCUCAACACAUGAUGCAGAGCAAAGUGGCCUUGAAGAUAUAGAUCAUAUGCCAUCUGUUUAUCUUGCCAUGAGCAUUGGAUUUGUGGUGGGUCUGUGGACAGUUUUCUGCACCAUGUUGAUGAAGAGGACAUGGAGGGCUGCCUUCUUCCAGUUUGUUGAUAUGAUGUACGACAUGGUUUAUGUGCAAGUGGCUGUAAGGUGGGCUCACGUGAUGGAGAAAACUCAAGACGGUGCACCAUGA